rnacentral:rRNA from 1 species
UUGCCGAAGGGGCAACCCGGUAAACCGGCGCAGUGGGUUGAGUAACACGUAGGUAAUCUACCCCCAGGUAGUGGAUAACCUUCCGAAAGGAGGGCUAAUACGAGCAUAAGACCACGGGCUCGAAAGGGCUUGAGGUCAAAGCCGGCCUCUUCAUGAAAGCUGGCGCCAGGGGAUGAGCCUGCGGCCCAUCAGCUAGUUGGUAGGGUAAUGGCCUACCAAGGCGUAGACGGGUAGCUGGUCUGAGAGGAUGAUCAGCCACACUGGAACUGAGACACGGUCCAGACUCCUACGGGAGGCAGCAGUGGGGAAUCUUGCGCAAUGGGCGAAAGCCUGACGCAAGCGACGCCGGUGAGUGAUGAAAGGCCUUCCGGGUUGUAAAGCUCUUUCGGCAGGGAACGAUAAUGGACGGUCACCUGCAGGAAAGAAGCUUGCGGUUAAAUUACUGUGCCCAGCAAGGCCGGCGGUAAUUAAGUACGGCAGCAAGCGUUCGUCCAGGAGUUACUGGGCGUAAAGAGUGUGUAGGGGGGGUCCUCUAAGUCCGGGUGACAUCCCUCCCGGGUUCAACUUGGAGGGUGCGCCGAAAA